UACGGAGGAUCCAAGCGUUAUCCGGAAUCAUUGGGUUUAAAGGGUCCGUAGGCGGCCUUAUAAGUCAGCGGCGAAAGUUUGCAGCUUAACUGUAAAAUUGCCAUUGAUACUGUAGGGCUUGAAUUUUUGUGAAGUAACUAGAAUAUGUAGUGUAGCGGUGAAAUGCUUAGAUAUUACAUGGAAUACCAAUUGCGAAGGCAGGUUACUAACAAACGAUUGACGCUGAUGGACGAAGGCGUGGGUAGCGAACAGG
rnacentral:rRNA from 1 species